rnacentral:rRNA from 1 species
AUUGAACGCUGGCGGAAUGCUUUACACAUGCAAGUCGAACGGUAGAGGUAGCAAUACCUUGAGAGUGGCGAACGGGUGAGUAAUAUAUCGGAACGUGCCCUUUGGUUCGGAACAACUCAGGGAAACUUGAGCUAAUACCGGAUGUGCCCUUCGGGGGAAAGAUUUAUCGCCAUUGGAGCGGCCCGCGUCUGAUUAGCUAGUUGGUGGGGUAAAGGCCCACCAAGGCGACGAUCAGUAGCUGGUCUGAGAGGAUGAUCAGCCACAUUGGGACUGAGACACGGCCCAAACUCCUACGGGAGGCAGCAGUGGGGAAUCUUGCGCAAUGGGCGAAAGCCUGACGCAGCCAUGCCGCGUGAAUGAUGAAGGUCUUAGGAUUGUAAAAUUCUUUCACCGGGGACGAUAAUGACGGUACCCGGAGAAGAAGCCCCGGCUAACCUCGUGCCAGCCGCCGCAGUAACAC